rnacentral:rRNA from 1 species
GGAUAACCUACCCUUAGGACCGGGAUAACCCUGGGAAACUGGGGAUAAUACUGGAUAGGCAAUUUUUCCUGUAAUGGUUUUUUGUUUAAAUGUUUUUUCGCCUAAGGAUGGGUCUGCGGCCGAUUAGGUAGUUGGUUAGGUAAUGGCUUACCAAGCCGUUGAUCGGUACGGGUUGUGAGAGCAAGAGCCCGGAGAUGGAACCUGAGACAAGGUUCCAGGCCCUACGGGGUGCAGCAGGCGCGAAACCUCCGCAAUGUGAGAAAUCGCGACGGGGGGAUCCCAAGUGCCAUUCUUAACGGGAUGGCUUUUCAUUAGUGUAAAGAGCUUUUGGAAUAAGAGCUGGGCAAGACCGGUGCCAGCCGCCGCGGUAACACCGGCAGCUCUAGUGGUAGCAAUUUUUAUUGGGCCUAAAGCGUCCGUAGCCGGUUUAAUAAGUCUCUGGUGAAAUCCUGCAGCUUAACUGUGGGAAUUGCUGGAGAUACUAUUAGACUUGAGACCGGGAGAGGUUAGAGGUACUCCCAGGGUAGAGGUGAAAUUCUGUAAUCCUGGGAGGACCGCCUGUUGCGAAGGCGUCUAACUGGAACGGUUCUGACGGUGAGGGACGAAAGUUAGGGGCGCGAACCGGAUUAGAUACCCGGGUAGUCCUAACUGUAAACGAUGCGGACUUGGUGUUGGGGUGGCUUUGAGCUGCUUCAGUGCCGAAAGGGAAGCUGUUAAGUCCGCCGCCUGGG